rnacentral:misc_RNA from 1 species
UAUCAAGCAAUUUUUGUGCUUGUCGUUGUUGAAGAACAGUGCACUAUCUGUGAUGACGAUCUUUCAACUUCUUUGUUCAAUAUUCAAGAACUUAUUAUCAAAAUAUAGAUCUGGGUUGAAAUCAGAAAUUGGAAUCUUCUUCCCCAUGCUCAUCUUGCGUGUGCUGGAGAAUGUGCUUCAGCCUAGUUUCUUGCAGAAGAUGACUGUUUUGGGAUUGCUGGAGGAGAUAUCUAAGGAUCCUCAGAUUAUCAUUGAUGUAUUUGUCAACUAUGAUUGUGAUGUCGAUGCUCCUAACAUAUUUGAGAGGACUGUUAAUGGUCUUCUUAAGACUGCUCUUGGUCCGCCUCCCGGUUCCACUACUACGCUGUCCCCAGUCCAAGAUAUUACAUUUCGCUCUGAAUCUGUGAAAUGCUUGGUCACAAUUAUUAAGUCAAUGGGGAUGUGGAUGGACCAACAAUUGAAGGUAGGAGACCCUAAUCAAGAUAAGGUGUCUGAUCAUGAAGUUUCAGAAGCGGCUAUCAGCGUUAGUGAAGAGGGUAACAUAGACUAUGAGCUACAUCCGGAUGCAAAUUCUGAAUUUUCUGGUGCUGCUGCCUUGGAGCAACGCCGUGCUCAUAAAUUAGAAAUACAGAAAGGCGUUUCACUGUUCAACAGAAAGCCUUCGAAGGGUAUUGAUUUCUUAAUGAGCACCAAAAAGAUUGGGAAUUCCCCAGAAGAUGUAGCUUCUUUUCUG